AGUGAACGCUGGCGGUAGGCCUAACACAUGCAAGUCGAACGGCAGCACAGUAAGAGCUUGCUCUUACGGGUGGCGAGUGGCGGACGGGUGAUGAAUACAUCGGAAUCUACUUUUUCGUGGGUGAUAACGUAGGGAAACUUACGCUAAUACCGCAUACGACCUACGGGGGAAAGCAGGGGAUCUUCGGACCUUGCGCGAUUGAAUGAGCCGAUGUCGGAUUAGCUAGUUGGUGGGGUAAAGGCCCACCAAGGCGACGAUCCGUAGCUGGUCUGAGAGGAUGAUCAGCCACACUGGAACUGAGACACGGUCCAGACUCCUACGGGAGGCAGCAGUGGGGAAUAUUGGACAAUGGGCGCAAGCCUGAUCCAGCCAUACCGCGUGGGUGAAGAAGGCCUUCGGGUUGUAAAGCCCUUUUGUUGGGAAAGAAAAGCAGCAGGUUAAUACCCCGCUGUUCUGACGGUACCCAAAGAAUAAGCACCGGCUAACUUCGUG
rnacentral:rRNA from 1 species